GCCUGGGUGGCUCAGUCGGUUGAGCACCCGACUUCAGCUCAGGUCAUGAUCUCAAGGUUUGUGAGUUCGAGCCCCAGCAUCGGGCU
rnacentral:tRNA from 1 species